GAUGAACGCUGGCGGCGUGCCUAAUACAUGCAAGUCGAGCGAACGGACGAGAAGCUUGCUUCUCUGAUGUUAGCGGCGGACGGGUGAGUAACAUGUGGAUAACCUACCUAUAAGACUGGGAUAACUUCGGGAAACCGUAGCUAAUACCGGAUAAUAUUUUGAACCGCAUGGUUCAAAAGUGAAAGACGGUCUUGCUGUCACUUAUAGAUGGAUCCGCGCUGCAUUAGCUAGUUGGUAAGGUAACGGCUUACCAAGGCAACGAUGCAUAGCCGACCUGAGAGGGUGAUAGGCCACACUGGAACUGAGACACGGUCCAGACUCCUACGGGAGGCAGCAGUAGGGAAUCUUCCGCAAUAGGCGAAAGCCUGACGGAGCAACGCCGCGUGAGUGAUGAAGGUCUUCGGAUCGUAAAACUCUGUUAUUAGGGAAGAACAUAUGUGUAAGUAACUGUGCACAUCUUGACGGUACCUAAUCAGAAAGCCACGGCUAACUACGUG
rnacentral:rRNA from 1 species